UGAACCACCCUACUAGGAUCAAAACCUUAGUAGCCUUUCAGCACGCUGCCUCGACACCCCUACUGUGGAACAAAGUAGUAUAUAUCAAGGGCUUCAUCACGUUACAACCAGGUGACAAUAAUACAUACAGCUCAUUGAACAGCCCACACGAAGAUUCAUAGUCAUCUUCAGAACUACAUUUACCCAAAGCCCCCAAAGGAUCUAAGUGGGCGAAUAUACACCAAUUCUCCAUCAGGCAGCUAUUAUCCAUUUAUUGCUGAGCUCAACAGCCAUUGAACCACCCUACUAGGAUCAAAACCUUAGUAGCCUUUCAGCACGCUGCCUCGACACCCCUACUGUGGAACAAAGUAGUAUAUAUCAAGGGCUUCAUCACGUUACAACCAGGUGACAAUAAUACAUACAGCUCAUUGAACAGCCCACACGAAGAUUCAUAGUCAUCUUCAGAACUACAUUUACCCAAAGCCCCCAAAGGAUCUAAGUGGGCGAAUAUACACCAAUUCUCCAUCAGGCAGCUAUUAUCCAUCAAAAAUAGAUCCCUUCAAAGGCAAAAUAGGGUCCAACGACAUGCUGAAUUCAC